GAGGACCUGUCGUGGUCUGGUAGAGGACAGUCUCCAGGGGGCAGCCGUGAUGCCUGGGGAGGACCUGUCGUGGUCUGGUAGAGGACAGUCUCCAGGGGGCAGCCGUGAUGCCUGGGGAGGACCUGUCGUGGUCUGGUAGAGGACAGUCUCCAGGGGGGAGCCGUGAUGCCUGGGGAGGACCUGUCGUGGUCUGGUAGAGGACAGUCUCCAGGGGGGAGCCGUGAUGCCUGGGGAGGACCUGUCGUGGUCUGGUUAAGGACAGUCUCCAGGGGGAAGCCGUGAUGCCUGGGGAGGACCUGUCGUGGUCUGGUUGAGGACAGUCUCCAGGGGGCAGCCGUGAUGCCUGGGGAGGACCUGUCGUGGUCUGGUAGAGGACAGUCUCCAGGGGGGAGCCGUGAUGCCUGGGGAGGACCUGCCGUGGUCUGGUUAAGGACAGUCUCCAGGGGGGAGCCGUGAUGCCUGGGGAGAACCUGUCGUGGUCUGGUAGAGGACAGUCUCCAGGGGGGAGCCGUGAUGCCUGGGGAGGACCUGCCGUGGUCUGGUUAAGGACAGUCUCCAGGGGGGAGCCGUGAUGCCUGGGGAGGACCUGUCGUGGUCUGGUAGAGGACAGUCUCCAGGGGGCAGCCGUGAUGCCUGGGGAGGACCUGUCGUGGUCUGGUUGAGGACAGUCUCCAGGGGGGAGCCGUGAUGCCUGGGGAGGAUCUGUCGUGGUCUGGACAGCUCGGUCCUGGGGGGACACUCACAAUUCCUCUCCGGCGUUGGAUUUGCAGGACUGGAGACCACAGCAGCGAUCCACCUCUUGCCCAACCUCUUCAAUGAGGACGGAGUGGCCUUUAUGUCCGUGACAAGAUUUCACCGCUCCCCAUUUCUUUCCUGCGGAAAUCCAUUUCACCGUGAGAGUGAAAUCACGCUGUUUUUUGAAGGGGAGAACAUCCACACCCUAGAGGACGUCCCCAUGAGACUUGGGGCUCUGCUAGGGCUGUAUUUUUGUAUUUUCAGUUACAUUUCCCAAAAAUGUCAGAAAAACACUUCUGUUGUUAAGUUACUGUGUUCUGGGGAUAAGAGAAGUUGGGAUGAAGUUACCAGGGCUGGUCGUAAAGAUGGCAAACUUCCUAACAUAACUAAUUGGUUGUGGGCAAGUGGUUGUUGAACACACACACACUAAAGCAACAAAAAAAAUGCAUUCUGUAUUUAGCAUCAAGUCUACAAUAUUGUUAGUUUAAUGAUUUAUUUUUUAUGUCGUUUUUAUUGUACAUCAUUAUUUUAUUCCCUAAAAAAUUGUAAUGAAAGCACUACACAAAGUAAAUGUAUUAUUUAUUAUGGUCUGACAUGUCUGCAAAAAUGAUGCAAUUUUGUUAUGUGUUUUGUUUGGUAAAUUGUUUUGUAAACAUUAAUUCACAUUUGUGGUGUCACUAAAUAAACAAUGCAUUAUUUAAAUCAA